rnacentral:rRNA from 1 species
AUCAGUAAGCGGUGGAAAAGAAACUAACCAGGAUUCUCUUAGUAACGGCGAGUGAACAGAGAACAGCCCAGUACCGAAGCCUAUUCACGCUUGUGAACAAGGCAAUGUGGUAUUGAGAUGUUUGCCUGGGGUUGUCGGUCUAUUCCAAGUCCAGCAUAGAUUAUGGCACUGGAUUUUGUCCGAAGCGGGUGAAAGACCCGUAGGGAUAGACUGUCAGGCAUGUUGACAACCCUCAGAUGCAUUCAUCGUGGAGUCGGAUAGCUUGAGAAUGCUGUCCAAAGUGGGUGGUAAACUCCAUCCAAGGCUAAAUAUUUGUACGAGUCCGAUAGCUAACAAGUACCGUGAGGGAAAGUUGAAAAGUACUCUGAAGAGAGAGUAAAUAGUACGUGAAGCCGCAUGUAGGGAAGCUGGUGGAGUCAAGCUGCAUGUCUCUAGAAUGAAGCCAGUGAUCAUUGUGUGUGUGGUUGAGGUGGUUGGCCAACUGGCUUGUAAGAAGUCAGACAGAUUUAUCUGCUUCCGGUGAGCACUGGUUAGUGCUUACGGAGUUGGUUAACUUGUUCCUCUUGUCACUGGCGUAUUUUCUUUAUGACAGACAUCACGAUCGACAAUGUUGUUGGCGUAUGGUAGUCAAACCAUCCGGUAUUGGGUUCUGAAUCCAUGCUUGGUGGGACGGCAGGUGGCUUGCUGGUUGACUUUGUUGGCCAGUGAGUUUUUUGUGGUUACGGCCAGCCGACUACUGUUUGUGAUGCUUUCAGCUAUACAACUUGUCGUUGCUCAAUGAAAGCUGGGCGCUUUCCCGUUGUCUUGUCGACUGCGCAGGUGUGUUUCCAUUUCGUAUGGUGCAUGCUUGUUGCUGGUUGGUGAGACGAGCGGCGAUUGCGUUCAGAUGUGAAUCGUGGUGUUGUGGUAGACGUUCCACCCGACCCGU